AUACGCCUCGCAAGUGGGCUCAUUUUCGUCUUCUGCGCAUGAGAAAGGAGGCGCAAAGGCGGGAGAGGAGGUUGAUGACGGUUCCGGCUAAGCUCCGCCCUCGCACAUGUCGGGGAGGCCGGGGGGUAAACAAACAUCGGCGUCGGCCAUGGCGGCCGUGCGGUAGCGGCGACCGCGAGUCUUUUGUUUAUUGUAGCCCGGUUAAAAUUUGCCGAGUCCACAAGAUCGAGCAGCUUUGUGCCCCUCACGAUUCCUCCGUCGUCUGCUAGAAGCAUUUCGAAGAUUCCAAGAUGAAGACGACGAAGAGCAUCAAAAGAAGGCGCUUGCCUAGCCUCGCGAUUGAAACGCCGGUUGCGCCGGUCACUACGAGACCGCCGCCCGAUUGUACCGGUCCCAGAUGGGCUGUUGACAUCCAGAAACACUCCAACAGAUGGUGGUCAUACAGCGAUUGUGAAGAAUGUGAAGACAGUCCCAUUUGGAUCCACAUUCUUAGUCCACUCAUUGAUAAUCUUUCCUUGUUGCAUCAAUGCCCAAGUAUGCCAGGCACUGAGCGACUACUCGCAUGUGUUACUGAUGGUGGCUUGCGAGGCUUCAGUAUUGUCGCUGCAGAUAGGGCUCACCCCCACACCAAAGCUGUUGGUGGUGUACGUUUCCAUGGAAUUGUUUGGUUGAUCCCAAUUUCCUAGAAGCGCCAAUAUUCAGUUUGGUGUGCCUUGCGGCUGAAGUAGAUUCAUCAAGGAGGUCUCGUCUCUUUCCUGGGGGCAAUACCAUGUCAGCUGCUUUGCAUGAACCACUUGGAAACUGUUUGGACUGCUCUAAAGCACUUGUAAUUGACCUUACCUGUUGUGUCCAUGCUAAUGCUGAAACGUAAAGUUCACUGAACCAAGUUUUACUAAUGAACUAAAACAAUCAGUGGAAAGGAUGAAUGGCUUUAUUUGUUUUCUCGAAGUAUACACUGUUUCAUACAUAAUACAUGAUGCUGGCAACGCUACUUUCAUUAGCAGACAACUUAGUCUACACUCUGUUUCACUAUAGCUUGGUGAACUGUGGAGGCUACGGCUCCUGCGACCCAGUAAGAAUGUCGGAGCGAGGCACAUGGCAGCAUGUCACAGGAGCGUCCGUGUCACCGCGCCAAAUGCAAGGACCACCCACCAGAACCGGCUGUCGUAUGCUCAGAAACCAAACGAAUUUGGAUGGACGUCCACUGCAGUAACAUUACCGUCCGCUAGAGUAGCGAGGUCUUCAGUAACACUUUUAUGAGGCAACCACAUGCUCAAUUUGCCCAUGAAUCUGUGGCGGGUGCUAAUGCUAGGGCGAUGUUUUGAGCGGAAAUGGUCAAUUCACGGCUACGAUUGUUUGAACGUCGAUCACAAGCCAUGUUUUUCUCAAAAGUGUUGAUCUAUAUUAAGUGUCGUUAAUAAGUGACAUAUGUCUUAGUCUUUCUUCAGUGUCGUGUAGUGUUGCGGUCCGAAGGAUCCGACGGCAACACUACUAAAAGAGGAAGAGAAAAAAAAAAAAACAAGCC
rnacentral:lncRNA from 1 species